UACGAGGGGUGCAAACGUUGCUCGGAAUUAUUGGGCGUAAAGGGCAAGUAGGUGGUCUCAUUUGUCUACAGGUGAAAGCCUUGAGCUUAACUCAAGAAGUGCCUUAGAAACGGUGAGACUCGAGUACUGGAGAGGGUCGUGGAAUUCCCGGUGGUAGCGGUGAAAUGCGUAGAGAUCGGGAGGAACACCAGAGGCGAAGGCGGCGACCUGGACAGUUACUGGACACUCAACUGCGAAAGCGUGGGGAGCAACAGGG
rnacentral:rRNA from 1 species